rnacentral:sRNA from 1 species
GAUGCGAGUGUGUAUGUGCGGGCGAGAAGAUGGCGGCGGCGGGGGAAGCAGCGUGAGCAGCCGGAGGAGCGCCGAGUCCCAUUGAAACGGGCAGCCAUGGCCCUCCACAGCCCGCAGAUAUGCCAGUUCCUCCUGGACUCCUCAGACUGGAAGAUUGUCCUUUCUCCUUGGCAAAUCAUCUUAUAUUUUUGGAGAUUUUAGCCCUGAUGAAUUCAAUCAGUUCUUUGUGACUCCUCGAUCUUCAGUUGAGCUUC